GUUUACGGAUGUGUGAUCGGCGUUGUCUCCCCAACUUCUCUUACCACAGAAGGACAAGAUGUACGAUGCGUUCACCAGCUUCAAGAGGACGCUGUGCGACGAGUACAGAAGCAUGGUCAACACACUGUGCACAGGGGACACCCCAACGACGCAACCAAUCGAGAUUCCACAGGCCUGUAAAGUAGCUCUCUCCUAGGGACAGCGCCAUACCGUACUGAAACUGCAACGACCGUUGAUCAUCUUGUUGAGCAUCUAAA
rnacentral:lncRNA from 1 species